rnacentral:lncRNA from 1 species
AGCAUUUAAAAUGUUUACACUCUUAAAAAGUGCUAUUUAUUUUGAGGGGUAUUUUCUUAAGAUUUUGAUCACACUGUAUUUGUGGAAAUUCUAUAAAUAAAGGUACUCUUAGAGGUAAUUAUUUUAUGUGAUAAAGAAAAAUUAUGUAUUUGUGAAGUCUGACAUGUUUUUGACUGAUAGCAGUAAUAAAUUGGCUGUGAUUUGGGUAUUAAUUGAGACAGAUUUUAUUAAACACCUUUUAAAAACGUUUUUAUUUUUUAGUACUAUUCCUGUGAACUCUGAAUAUGUGACUGCUGUGCCUGAUGUUAUGAAUGUUUAUGCAGAUCGAAUAUCAACACAAUAAUUUACCUCACAGGUGAUAGUUUAUUUCGUGGCAACAACUCAGAAUAAGGAGUUUCUAACUAAAUGCCAGCCUUUGGCAAUUGAACAGAACCAAUCUAGUAACUACUUCGAUUUAACAUUUUGGCCUUUCAGUGUGGAAAAUGCUAGAUUAUUAACAUUUUCAAGUUUUUAAAAUGUAUUUUGAACAGCAUUUUGGGUUACCUAUGAAUUAUAUUUGGAACAGUGAUAUUUUGAGCACCUUUAAAAUAGGUGACUUCUUUAUAGGUGAGCUUAGUUCUUAGCUCUGCACACCAAGGAUAUAUUUACAUUUUGGGGAAAGUUAAAAUUCCACCAAAUUAGUUAUUCUGCCUUUAUAUGUAACCAUUUGACUCCUUUCCAUCUGUUACGAUAUUUGUAUCAAGGUAUCCGGUCUUUACCUACCUUUAGGUAAGUAUUUAUUUUAUUACUGUUCGUUAGGAUCCUAAAAGAAGACAGACAGACAAACCAUCAC